UACGGAGGAUCCAAGCGUUAUCCGGAUUUAUUGGGUUUAAAGGGUGCGUAGGCGGCCUAUUAAGUCAGGGGUGAAAGACGGUAGCUUAACUAUCGCAGUGCCUUUGAUACUGAUGGGCUUGAAUGGACUAGAGGUAGGCGGAAUGAGACAAGUAGCGGUGAAAUGCAUAGAUAUGUCUCAGAACACCGAUUGCGAAGGCAGCUUACUAUGGUCUUAUUGACGCUGAGGCACGAAAGCGUGGGGAUCAAACAGG
rnacentral:rRNA from 1 species